AGAAGGGCCCAAGUUAUCUACGACAAAAUGAACAGCACGCUUCACCAAAUUUAACUUUGAGCCAUUCAUGCUGCCACUAAUGUCUAGUACAGCAACAAGGUCAAUAGGUGCACGAUCUAAGAGACAUGCAUUAUCUGAUAGAGGUGGUGCCCGUACUCCAACAAGAACUGCAAAUUGAGAGAGGGAUUCUGAAGCAGCAAUGGCAGGACGCUCAGGAAUGGACUUGAUUUUGACACUUUGUAGCCCAUCACGUGAAUCCGAAGAAUUAGAAUUAGCAGUGAUUGUGAGCAAGGGUUCAUCAUCUGAGAAAACAAGGGACUCGGGACCAAGUUCGGCCCAUGGAUCGAAUGGUCGUCCAAAUGCAGGUUGUGGCUGGAUAUGGAAUCCAAAAGCUGAGGGUGGCGGGAUUUGAAAUCCAAAAGAUACGGGAUUUGAGGAUUUUGGCGGAGGAACAUUAGCAACAAAAGUAGGCAUACUGAAUGGGAGAUUAUUCCAUUUGGCAUGGCAAACAGGGCAAGCGUAAUUGCCAUUCGAGACACUCUUGCUAACACAGCCGAAAUGGAAGGAGUGGCAGCACUCAGCAGUAAAGAUGGCUUGGCCUUGCCCUGUAGCAAACCUCUUCGAGCAAAUAGCACAAACAUUCUGCAAACAGAAUCAAAUUUUAUAAGCAAUAUCUUACCAAAUCAGGCAUUAUUUAUAGUGUCAGUACAUGAGAUUGAACAAGAUAAGAACAUAUAUAUAGAAAGGCCGAAAAACUAUGAAAAUACACAUCAUAUAUUCGGCACAAGUCACAAAAUGAACCAUAAAUUGAGAGAGAAAAGAUGAAUACUCGAAUGAUCAUUCAUUAAUCAUAUUAGUUAUACAGAAAGGGAUUUCAUGAUGUGUCGAUGCUUUAGUACAAUUUUCGAAAAUUGCGACUUGGCCAACUGACUACGGAUUAAAAUAUCACUACGAGAAAAGUAAUCUUUGCCAUCGUUUCAUUAAUGGCAAGUACUUACUUCUUUGUGUCCUACACAGCUUUCCCUACAGGUUGAUUAUACAUUUACAUCCAUGACAACAAAAUAAAAUUUCUUAAUCAGCCCAUUAUAGCAAAAUUCAACCUUUGUUCGAUGAAAUAUCAUUUUAGAUAUUGAGCCACAAAAUCUACAUAUGAACCACAUCAAACUUGCAACUGUUUAAGAAAUCAAUCAAAAUUGUGGAAACUUUUUCCAAAAUUCUUAAAAAAUAUGAGGAAUUUAGAGAAUAAAUCACAAAAUAGUUUACUCAAAACCUUGGAAACAGUAAAAUUAUCAUGGCCAAUCUAGAGAGAGAAAAAAAAAAGAAAAGAAAAAAAGAAAAUUCAUCCAUGGAAGCAGAUAUGCAUUAAGGAAAACGUCAAUUUAGACAUUUAGUACACAGUAUAAAAGAAGAAAAAAUAAGUCAGCAUUUUGUGUACACCACCGUACUAUGUUGUUUAUACAAAACAUGGGUAAUGUAUGUAUAUAUAUGUAUCUCAAGAAAAAGAGGGAAGAAAACUUACAGUGUGUGCUGAUGAACUCAUUGUUUCUUUUGUUCUAUUAGUGAGGGAGGUGGGUUUUUUCCUGUGGAAUAUAUAUAGAAGGGUCCCAUUACGCGGUCUACGCGUUAAGAUUUUGGAGUUUUUAAUGAAUGAAAAAUGGUCGUUCGACGUGUCGCGUUUAAACAACGCUUUGGAAGUGUUGACUUUUUGUGACGUUGAUUUUUUAAAUAAAAACGGAAAUAAUUAAAAACAAUAGAGGAAGAUAAGUUCACGAGGUGGUUGUGGAUACAAACAAAUACUACGUAUCCUUGCACGUAAUUAGUCCGAUUCUUCCUUUGUCAUUAUAAAUAACCCAUGUGGUUCGACUAGUUUCUAGCGAAACUCAUCCCUAUUAGUAACACAAUCGAUUUGUCAAUUUUGUAUCCUGCCGUUUUUAAUACUACGUUUACAAGUGAAAUUGCUUUGGGGGCAGAUGUUGAGAUUGGAUUGACGAUUUCUUGUAAUUAUCAAUAGAUAUCCUUUCUUCUAAGAGAUUUCUAGGUAUAAAUUAAUCAUAUAUAGAUAAUAUUGCCUUAACUGUGGUAGAUUUCAUUGCCAAAUUCUAGGAAAAAACAAGGUGAAUAAAAAAGAAAAAAGUUGUCCCAAUUUGUUAGGCAACACAAACAAUGAUAGCUAAGUAAUUUAAGGCUCCAAAAGCCAAAAAUCUGAGUUGGACAAUAGACUUUUUAACUUUUAUAAUAAGCAAAAAAUAUGUCACGCGUGUAUCUUAUCACAUCUAUGAUACGAGAAAUCUCGCUAUUUUCUCCAGAAAAGAAUUGAAUUAUUAUUUACGAAUGAAUUAGGAAGCAGUAAGCACUAUUUGUGGUUCCAAUAAUACAAUGCAAAGCGUUCCACAUAUAAUCAGAAUAACAGUGGCUAGCUAAACACACUGCACAUAAGGAUCAUAGGAGCUUCAGACAGUAAAAUCGAUCACAGCUCCAAUGUAUCUUCUCAAUCGAUCUUAAAGACUGCGAAUUUUAUUCUCUAUCGUUCUUUUACAGUAUAGAGUAAGCUCUAAUCACCUCUACAAUUGGUGCACGACAUAAUGGACACUUCCCUCCUCUGCGAACCAACUCGUUUGCACAUUUAGAACAAGUGCACAUGUGCCCACAUCUGCAGAUUAAGACACAGAAAACAUCUGUAAGGGAAUAUAGUUUGGCCAGAAAAAUAAAAUCUAUACAAACUCAAAAAAACUGUACUGACAUGAAAUAGUAUGUAAUUCACCUCCUUUGUGAUCCUAUUAAGCCAAGAACGGUACUCUAGAGGAGGGCCAUUUUAUGUAAAAAUUUGAGAAUUUGACAAUGAAAUGAGUACAUUAUACUUCAAACUAGUAUAUUUGGCAUAAUGGGUGUGCCAUGGAGUUGUGUAUCAAUUUUGGUAGUGCGUAUAACUUAGCAUAAUAUAAUAGGUUGCCAUACCUGUACAAUAAAGAAUCAAUGUGGUUAUCACAACAAACACAGCAGGUACCCUUUCUAACCUGACCCCAUUUAGACCCAUCCUCUGAAGUCUCUGCAAUCCCUGCGUAUGCACGUGCAUUAAUAAAAACAAUUACAGCCAACAGUAUAUAAUGGAUGGCAGAAGAUUUUUGCUUUUUCUAGGGCAUUUAAUAAGGGGGGCCAUUGAAAGGGGAGUAAAACACCAGAAAUGACUACAUAAGCGAAUGAUGAAGGCAAAAACACUUUUGUAGGGCUUGAAUAGGUUUAUAACAUCAAGAUUACAAACAGACCUUGUCCACUGCCUGUACGAUUAAGAGCGGCUGAGACUUCCUGUCGGACUGACCGUUGCAAUUCCAGCUGCAUGUCCAUGCAAGCUUCUAACAUCCUUUGCAUGUGGUUCAUUCCUUGCUGAAGUUUUGCAACAUCUGCUCUCAGAUCAUUAAUCAUCUCCCACUCCUGACCAUAAUUAGGGAAGCAAGGAUUCAAUUCAAAUGUGAAAUUGCAUAAUCAUAGUCUCAUAAACAGUUCUACAAAUAGUGGGAUGGUUAAUGCCUUCUGAGAAUCUGGACGAUCCAUUAACACUCCUAACCAAACCUCCAGUCUGCUUAUAUUGAAGACUAAAACUAGUCAGAUAAUAAGUCUUAGUAUUCAAAAAUUACAUAAAUUCCAAAGCUGGAAGAAUCACAAGUUAGCACAAUGUAAAAGGACAGACACACAAUUGUCACUAUUGUAUGGCUCGAGUCCUCGAGCAGAUUUUUUGGUCCACUGUGAUUUAGCAAAACGGGAUUUUAGUUAUAAACCACAGAUAUAGAGCGCAAGCACCAAGAAUCCUGAAUAGCUUCUGGACAAUUUGUAGCCAAUUUCACACGAGAUUAUGAAUGACGAAUAUCAUUGCCUAAAUUCGUUGAUACCAAACAUCUUGAGAAGAUUAUUUUACUAAUUACAGACAAAAAAUCUUCCCUUCAUAUGGUACGCAAGAGAGUACAUACCCCUUAACAUUUGGAUGUUGGAUAAUUCAUCAAAUGCAAAAGCAUCUUGCACCAUUUCAUAAGAUUCAAUGAAAGAGAAGGUGCCACCUGAUUCAUCGGAUAUGGCAUGCAUUGCAACAGGAUCGUGAUCCGUACCAAAACCGAAUGUGUGGACUGGAAAUCUUUGCUGCUGGCUUUCAUCUUGGCUUCCUCUGUUUCUAGGACAGAUCGAAUCAGGCAUAAGAUGUAGAUAUUCAGGAUUUAGUCUGGGACUUUGUCCUGGAUUUGAGGAAUUUUGAAUUAUUGACCUACGGUAGCAAGUAUCCUUCCCAUCAGAUAAGAAUAUGAUGCUUGCAACUGGAUUCUGCAGAUGCCUUUCUUCAAGAACACGAACCCCCUUCUUCAGGCCUUCCACAAUAUUAGUCAUACCACUUGCUUGAAGUGAAUCAAUAGCCCUUCUAGCAUCUUCAUGGCCAUUGCCAGUUAUUCUACGCAAGGGAAAGAUUCUCCGAGCAGUAGAUGAGAAAGAAACUAUUGAAAGUCGGUCAGAAGGUCCCAAGUUAUCUACGACAAAGUGAGCAGCUCGCUUCAGGAGAUGUAACUUUGAGCCAUGCAUACUGCCACUAACAUCUAGUACAGUAACAAGGUCAAUAGGCGCACGCUCAAGGUGCCGUGCAUUAUCUGAUAGUGGAGGUGCACGUACUCCAACAAGAACUGCAAACUGAGAGAUGGAUUCAGAAGCUGCAAGCACGGGACGUUCAGGAAUGGACUUGAUAUUGACACUUUGCAGACCAGCAAGUGAAGAAGAAGAGGUAGGUUCGCUAGUGAUUAUGGGUAAGGGCUCAUCAUCAGAGAAAACAAGAGACUCGGGCUCAGAUGGAGGAGUUGGCAGCGUCAGUGGUUGAGAAACAUUGGAGAAGCGAGUAGGGAAUUGUCGGGGUGGAACAUUAGGGUCGAAGUUGGGCAUAGAGACAGGGAGACAAUUCCAUUUUGCACGGCAAAUAGGGCAAUUGAAAUUGCCAUGUGAGACACUAUUGCCAAUGCAGCCAAAGUGGAACGAAUGGGAGCACUCGGCUGUAAAGAUGGCUUGUCCUGUUGUGACAUUACCCAAGCAAAUAGCACAUGUAUUCUGCGACAAAAAUGAAAUUUCAAAGCAUUUAACUUACUAAAAUCAAUAUCUGUGCAAAUGAUACCGUAAAACUCAUAACACCAAAAUUUUUCAGCUUAAGGAUUUUUUUCAGCUCAUCAACUAUGGAAGGUAAAAGUUUAAUCUAAACCAAAAGAAAAGAAAAUUCUGUAUACAGGUAACUAUUAGAUUUCAUAUAGUUGAUAUUAUUAUUAAAUCCCAUUUGUUGCUUCAAGAGAUUGUUGAUAUCCCAUCUAUCAAACUACAGUCAUCCAUUAGUCCUACUGAUCCAGAGAAGAUUGGAAAACUCAGGAUAUUAGGGUGAUGUUUCGAUACAUUCUGAAAAAACGAUUCUGGGGUGAACUGAUUAAAGACUAUAAUUAUCAUUACUUCAGCACAAGACUAUUUCUUAAGCAACCUAGAAUUUUUAUUAUCGCGCAUACAACAGUAAACUCCACGUGUGAAAUUCAACCUUUCCAUGUAAAGACCGUACCCCUCCCCUCGUAUCAUAGAAUUCCAAAUAUUGAACCAGUAAAUCUACUAAUAAAAAUUAUAAACCACUAUAACCUGCAACCCAUUAAGCAAUCAAUUAAAAUUGUAUUAUUCUUGGAAAUUCUAAAAGUCGUGAUGUCAAUAAAUAGAUCACCAAAUGUUAUACUUAAACCCUGCUGUGGUAACACAGUAAACCAAAUAUCUGUUCUCUAAUCUACUAAAACAAGUCAAUAAGCAUCAAUUUCUUUCUAAAUCAGUCUGAAAACUUCAAACCCUGAUAGAAACAACCAAUUUUUGAAGAGUAAACGGAUUUUCUUUUCAAGUCAACCAAUUUACCCGAUAAUCAUAACGGUUAUAGCACCCAACACAUGAUCAGCGAAUUCAAAGAACAUCGAGAACAUGAACAUUCAUAUUUCAAAUAAAUAUAUAAAAUCGUGCAUAUACACCCAAAAAGAUAAAGAAGAAAGGGAAGAAAUCUUACACUUUCUGUUGAGCUCAUUUUUCUUGCGUUAGUCUUGUACUAAGGAGGUUGGUUUUUGGAAUAUAUAUUUGGAAAAGAAGAAGGAUGAGGAGAAGGAGAAGGAGGAGGACGAGGAGGAGGAGGAGGAGCGCCCCAUUAAUUUGCCUACGUGUAGCUUUUAUGUUAAGGUUCCGGAGUUGUCCUUGAAUCCAUCGUCUGGACGUGUCGCUUUCAAAGAAAUCCUUGGUUAUGCUGACUUUUUUGUUACAUUGUAAUUGCCGGAUGAAUUACUCUUCUUGUACAAUCGAGGUUGACAAUUCUAUUAACAUUGGAACUUUGGAAGCCAAAUUAUGUAUAAUUUUCUAUAAAACAAGAGUGGGUAAUUGCAUUGUCAUCUGUUCAUAAUAUGCUCACAUACAAUCGCAUUGAGUUCUUUUUUACUUUCAAUUUUCAGUUUUCCUCUUGUAAGAGUUGUUGACUUCAAAAUUUGAGCAGAUCCCAAUGGAACAAGUCGAGUUUCUGUCCCUUUGCGAUAGUUCAAUGACCCUUUGCAUCUAAAUUUUCGAUGAGGGAGAUACAAAUGAAAAUGACCUAUGUAUAUACAGAGUAGAAUAUAAAUUGGUCGGUUAUAUGUCAUGUCAUAGUUCAUUAUCAUGUCACAAUUGUUUGUAGGUUGAUAUUUGAUUAGAAUUGCUUUUUUAUUGGCUCGGCUAGUUUGCUAUAGCUUUCGGUUGCAUCACAGUCUAAAUAAUGAAAUAUCGAUUUCUUAAUAAGCUCACUUAGACUAAUGACUCGUCACAUGUAUACCACAUUUUGAUGAUUGGUUUAGGUAUGAGCAAUGGUCAUUAAAUCAAAAUCCUACUACCGAAAAAGUAAAUUCAUUACUUCAAGAAUCAAAAUAGACCAAAAACAUUCGUCAUAUAGGGAAUAAAAGUGAAAUGGGCACAGCUUAGAGAAAAGAAGAAACUCAUUUGGAUCUUCAUUAGUGAUUCUUGUGUAAGGAUCCAUAGAAGUCAUUGAAAUUUUCGAGUAAAAGGAUAUGUUAGAGAAAUUUAAAAAAUAAAAAAAUUUAUAUAAAAGACUCAGGAGAAAAAUUAAUCUAUUUCCGUGCAAAGAUUAUUGACCAUAUUUUAUGAUCAAGAUUGUUUUUCAUCAACAAACUUGUUUAAUCUCGUCAAGAUUGUUAACUUUUCAUCAAUCGAUGUCAUAUAUUGAUUUCUUUAAUCUCUUCAUAUUUGUUGAAUCACUUUAAAAUUGUUAGUUCCUCCUCUAAACUUGAUGAGAAAUUACAACUAGAUAAAAUAUAUACGGACUUGAGAAGGUAAUAUGUAAAUAAUUAAACAGAAACAUUAAUGGCUGUUCUCUUUUCUGUUUCCAUGCUGUUCUAUGUUUUCGAUUUUUCAAAACAGUAAAAACGCAUUCUUUUUCCUAUUUUCGAAAAUGAAUUUUUGAAAAAAAAAAAAAAAAAAAAAAAUAAAUUUUAAUUUUAAUUAAAAUAUUAAAAAAAAAAAAAAUAUAUAUAUAUAUAUAUAUAUAUUGAAAACUCAAAACGUCAUAUUUGACAUUUUGAGUGUUUUCAGUACAAAACGCGGCAAACAUUGAAUGGUCCUAUAUAUAGUUUGUACAGAUGUAAACUAUUUAUAAGUAAACUAGGAUGAAGCUAAAAAAUUAUGUUGGAAGAUCUAAUAUAUAGUCAUGAACCGGGCUCUCCAUUAAUAUACUUAUCAUUAUGUUUUAUGAUCAACACCAUAAUAGAAUAAUACUCUUGUUUCGCGCGGAUAGUCGCUAACAAUUAAAAAGGGAUCAGAUGAUUGUGUAAGGGACAAACCUCUUGAGACAAAGUCCUAAAAAGGGGUGUUUUAUUGGCAAUGACUUUACAAUUGGAACUUAAACAGAAAUGCCUACAAGGAGCGCAAGCACACGAGUACUGAAAAGAAAUGUUAUAAGUCUAAACUAAGAAAUUGAAAUUAUAUAUUCUCUGUUUGAGAGUGUUUGAUUCGAGGUCUUUUGCUCUAUGUCUUUUCUUCCUUUUAUAUUCUUUUGAUGCUCUCUUUAUGAUCAACCGUUUAGAAAUCGCUUAAUUGCUUUAUAACUACCCACUUUCUUUAUGGUGGCCAACUUAUCGUGGAACUGCCGUCUCUAACUACUGCCAUUACUCUUUGACGUUCAACCGUCCUCAACUGAACAUCCUUGAAUCGUGGAACGUGAUAAGAUUACCCAAUAACUACUUCGAUAAUUGCACUUUUGGAUAACCAUAGCAUCUCAUGUUUGCUAAGAUCCUGGGCGAUUCGAAAGUUUGGGCGAGAACAGGGUCAUAACUCUGGGCGACUGAAAGGUAUUUCAUUCGCUCAGAUCCUGGGCAUUUUGUAAGUUUGGACGAUGGUGUUACGUUCGUGGGCUUCCACUGCAUUCAUUAAUAAUCCUAUUUGGGCCUUUAUCCUGAAUUGCCUAGUUAGGCUUCAUUCUUUGGACUAUUUGAAUUGGGCUGCACUUUUAGCAUGUCAACAAUUACCCCCCAAUAUGACAGAAUUAAUACCAAUUAUUAAUUUUUGCCAUAUUCACUUUGUGUUUCCCAGCAACAUUUGAGAUUCCCAAGAAUUUCAAUUAUUAUUUUCUUCCAUAGCCUGAAAAGGUGCGACGUUGCAAACCCUUAUAACCCCCAAAUUGCCAUUUCAUCGCACUAUUAAAUCACGCCUCAUUGCUUCGUGCUUCUCUCUCGCAAUAUUACUGUUCAUCUUCUUGCUUCUCUGCUAUGUUUUUCAAGCAAACUUCAACAAAGUUUUUUUUCGUUCCUAAUGACUGCUUCACAAUCCCAAUCUAGUGACUCUUUCAAUUUCGAAGACUUCCAGAAACUCCUCACUCGGUCAUAUAUAACUCCUAACUUCUUUGCACCAGUCAAUGCCGAACUCAACGAGUUCUAUCUAGAUCCCUCAUUCAAUAACGCCGAGGCCGUCGAACAAGUGGCGGUGGGCCAGCUGUUCCCUUGUACUCAAGGCCCUCCGUUUCUAAACUCUUUGCCGCUGAGGCCGCUUCGCGAAAGAGGUAUUCGCACUUGGCCUAAAUCUGAUGUUGUUUUCUGUAGAUGGCAUGCUCGCCUUGUGAACCAUGGUCCUACCAAGAUAAUUUUUGAUAAUGCUAGGAUUUCUGAUUUGCUAGAAAUCUCUCUUCAACCCCCUAUUUUUGAUUCAGCGCUUUUCCCUAUUGCAUUAAGUUUUUGGUCCUUUGAGUAUAAUACUUUUGUUUUCCCUCUUAGUCCCAUGUCCAUUAUUAAGGGAUGUUGGAGCCUUAGUAAAUUUACCACCUUUGGGCGAUACCAUUUUCCCUGGUAUUUUGAUUUCUGGUGUCGCCCCAAAAUUUGACAAAAAACUUACCGAGUCCUAUUUAAGCCUGCAAAGCUGUUAUAAUCACUCGAGCGUUGAGCCUUCUCAUGCUGAGCGUGUGACCUUUCUUCAGAUUUGACUUUGUAAAUAUAUUCUGUGUGUGCCAAGCCUGAAACCUUCUAUGAGCUAUUUACCCAUAGCACACGAAUUGACGCGUGGUAGGCCUCUGAAUUUGUGUUCUUUCUUUUUGGCCGCCCUCUAUAGAGGCAUGGCUUUUCUCCAAUUCCAAUUGAAGAAUGGUGCAUCUCUCACUGGCAGUGGACUUCCUUGGUUCACUCAAAUUCCUUUCCCUUCAUUCUGCUAGUUGCUAUGGGCUAGCUAUUGACCCACUGAGCCCUGUACAUAUGUCCAAAAGGGAUAUUUUUCAUUCUUUUAUACAUUGAAUUCAAUUCCUUCUUUCUUUCCUUUUCCUCCCUUUUUAACUCCUGAUUAUGUGCAUCCUCCAUCUACCCUGGACAAUGCAAGCACCUCUCUGUUCGUUUGGGUUCAAUUUUUGACUAGGAGGAAUUUGUUCUAUGAUAUUUUGACUGGAACUAAUGCCAAAGUUGGGGUUGAAAUAUAUGCUCCCCAAUUUUUUGCUCGUCAACUUGGUUUCGGCCAAACUUGGCCUGUUCCCCCUUGUUAUUCAAAAAAUUUGAUAGAUCGCUUCUACACCAUAAAUAAGGCAGAGGCAGAAGUUAUAAAUGCUCGCAAUAUUCUUUUGACGAGUAACUUUUCAUUAGCUCAUUUCAAUCCUAGCCAUGUCACCCAUCCCCUUGUUGAACAAAUCUGGUCAUCAGUGCAGCGGAGAUUGUUUGCAACUGAUGCCAAUCGUGCUUUCCAUUCACUGGAUCAGCCGGACAUUUCUUCCACUUCCCCUGUUUUGGUCACCCUUGUGUCCAUUAGGAGUCCUUCCUCUUCUGCUCGUGCUAAACAGUCUGUUCGUUCAUCUACUUCCCUUCCUGCCAAGCCUACUGCAUCUAAAAGUAUCCCAAGCCGCAAAUGGCCAGCUUCAGCAUCUCCCAUUUUGGAGGAUGAUGAUGAUGAUGACACUCCUCUCAUUGUCAGGAGAAAGGUAAUUAAAUUAGUUUACUCACAAGCAUACCUUUCUAUACUUGAAACAUUUCUAUGCGCUGAUGGUUUAUUCGAAUUUUUCAAAAAAGCUCAGCCUCUCCUUCGAAGGCUUUGGUGUUGGUAGCUCCUGCUCCAUCACCCUCUGCUGAGGCUGCUUCAUCCAAACCAGCUGAUGAAGGGACUACGCUUAAAGAGAAACCUUCAGUCCCGAAAUCCUCAUCACAACCAAUGGAUGAGCCACCUUCUUCCUAGGGUGUCAACCCCUUAAACGUUGAACCAGAAGGUAAUACAUUUUUUGAUGUUUUACCUUUGCUUAUGCUAUUGAUUUUUGAUUUGUUGCUUUUUGAGUUUUGCAGAUACUCCCAUGGGUUUGCCCAUUGGAGCAAAGUCUUCUCGCUCAAACAAGGGAACGUCUUCACAAGUGGUGGAGCCACAGGUGGUAGAUUUGGCUGGGGAUAUGCCACCUCUCAAGAUUGCUGAUGAGGUAAUCUCUGCUUCACUUUUACUUCCACUUUGUUCAUUGUAGUGAAAACUUUCAAUGUUGGUAACUUUCUUUGCAGGAUGCUGAUAAGAUUGUGCAUUCCAUCCAGGACUUGUUCACGUUCUGGGGGCAAGUCAAGACGUCUCGCCCUGCUUCAACCAGUCGUCCUUCUGCUUCUUCAGAGAAAGAUAUGAAGUUCAUCAAGCAGUCAAUAUUUGAGUAUGUGUCCUUUAUGGAUAUGGAUAUCGGUCAGGCUAGUGCUGCCAAACAUAAGGAUAAACUUAAGCAUUUGAGUGCGAAGUUGGAGCAAGCACUGACACUUCCGUCGCUCAAUCUUUCUGCUGAUUUUAAGGCGACAUUGAAAGUUGUCCAUUCCGAGGUUCUCUCCUUGCUGGCCAAAAAUGUUGAACUGAAGGCCAAAAGUACUCAAUAUCUUCGCGCUGUAUCUGAAAGAGAAUCUUUGCUUCUGGAGAUCAACAAAGCUGAGGACGAAUUGAAAGAAAUCUCUUCUGAAGUUAUGAUUGAAGACUCUUUGAUGACCAAUUUAGCUGCAUAGAUGAAGAAGCUUCAAGCAAAGACGGACGACUGCAAUGCGAAAAUGGCUACCAAAAAACGCAAUGUCUCCCAAGGAAUUGAGCGAACAAAGUCUUUGGUCAAGCAGUACAAGAAGCUAGAGGUUGAUGAUGAUUUUGUGGCUGAAUUGAAUGUCACUUCUUCUCAGUAGAGCGAGAAUUGGGGGAGACUUAGGGAAAUGAUUCGUUCAGUCUCGGGUGAUUUGUAAUUAAGACAUCUAAUGCCUUAACUUUUCUUUUUAUAAUUUCAUAUUAAUUUUCCCUUUGUAACCUCGCACUGAGUUCUGAACAUACCAGCAAUCAUUAUCAUUAAUGAACGAUUAACUUGUCUUCUUGUGUAUUUAUUGACGUUGUCUUUAAUCGUCAACCCCCCAAACAUUUAACUGCAUUAUGCUAAGAUUCACACACAUUUUCUCUUGGUAUUUCUGUCUCUUUCCCUAAGAUUUCGGGCCAUUUGAUUCUAGUUACUAGGCACGAAUGUGGCUGUUCAUAUUUUGUCUCUUCACCUUCACGUCUCUAUAAAUGCACUUAUAUUCCACACUUGUCAUUUUCACUUCCAUUUUCUUCUUCAAAACCAAUUUGCUGCCAUUGUUUGGCAUUUUGACAAUCGAUCCAAAACAUUCGUCUUCCAUGGAAAUGGAUCAUUUGAUCCGUCCAUUUUGCCAUCUUUCUUGAUGCCACCUUUGGUAUGGGAGAUAUAGGAAAUAUUAUUUGGCCAGCAAAGUUCUUCCCAUCGUCUCCAUGUUCCUUACAAGGAGUUCGAUGAUGGAAGACAAUUUUUGAGGACGCCUCCAACCCACCUUGCUUGCUGAGAGUGCUUCUCAACCUCCUUGCUCAUCAUUGCAGCGAUGUAUUUAGGAAGGCGACGUGAGGGUGCUUCUUCUUCCUUUCUGCUUGCUGAGAGUGCUUCUCGGCCUCUCUGCUUGCCUUUGCAGCAGUGCGAUCAGGAUGACAAUCAAGGCCAGUACACCCUCUUACUCGACAAUCGACCGGGAGAUUAGUUUGCUCUUAAUUGUAAUUUAUAGAAUAUUUAGCAUUUUUGUCUUUUGCAACUUUGUAACGAACGUUUGAUAAUAAAGGAAUUUAUUUGAACAUAUUUCUCUCUGGCCCUUUUUUCUCCACGAUCGUUCAUUGCGAUUUGAUUACGCUUUUAUUUGUUCACUUUCUCAUAAGGAAGGAACAUAUUUUUUUAAAUAUUUGCCAUUAAUGAACCGCAUGUGUUUGGUGCCGUCUAAAUCUUCCAAAUGAUAGGCUCCAUUAGGCAACACAUUAUUUACUUUAUAUGGUCUUUUCCAAUUGGACGACCACUUGCAUUACUUUGGAUCUUUGCUAUCCAAAGGGAGUACUGUUUUUCAAACCAAUUCGCCCAGGCUGAACGACUUGGCUAUAACCUUUUUUAUUAUAAAAUUUAGCCAUUCUUCGUUUUUGAACUUGCAAUCUAUCUAGGACGUCCAACUUUAAUUCAUCCAACUCCAAUAAGUUUUGAACUAGUGAUUCGGUAUACUCAUCACCACUUAACUUAUGUUGCAAACACACUCUGAUUGAUUGCACGUUGAUUUCCAUAGACAAAACGGCCUCUUGUCCAUAAGUAAGUUGGAAAUGAGUAAUUUUUGUACUUGACCGAAGUGACGUCCUAUAAGCCCAUAAGGCCUUGUUUAGACAUUCGUGUCAAUUUCUAGCAUUUUCAUCUAUCAUUUUCCUUAUGAUAUUUUUUAGAAUCUUAUUAGAAGAUUCUGCUUGUCUGUCGGAUUGAGCGUAAUAUGGUGUGGAGUUCACUAAUUAACUCCAAACUCGCCCAAGAAUUUAUUCACUUGAUCCCCAUUUAAAGAUGUUCCGUAAUCUAUCAUCAAAGUUUGUGAAAUUCCAAAUCUAUAGAUGAUGUGGUCACGGAUAAAUUCUAUGACAUUUUUUUGGGUGAUCUCCUUUAAAGGUAUCGCUUCUACCCAUUUAGUGAAAUAAUCAGUUGCAACUAUAACAAAGGUAUGUUGCUUGGACGAUGGGGGAUAAAUCUUCCCUAUCAGGUCUAUCACCCAACCCUUAAACGGCCAAGGUUUGAUAAUAGGGGUCAUCUCUUGUGCUGGCACCCUUUGUAUUGGACCAUGCUUUUGGCAUGCUAGACAACUCUUUGCAUACUGAAUGCAUGAUUCUCCCAUCUUUGGCAAGAAAUAUUCAUUCCUAAUAAUUAACCAUCUCAUCCUUUGGCCAGUUUGAUGAGCUCCACAUAUCCCUUCGUGCACUUCAGCCAUGAUCGUCCUGACUUCUUUCAAACUUACACAUUUUAGCAAUAUACCAUCAGAGCAUUUUUUAAACAACUCUUCAUCUAUCAGUGUAUAGUUUAGCAAACGCAACUUCAUUUUUCUACUAUCUCCUUUAUUAGGUUCUUUAAGAAACCUUUUGAUCUCUACCCUCCAAUCUAUUGCAUCUCCAUCUUGUAUGCAAUGAAUUUCAAUUGUUCUUGCCCUUAUUUGGAUCACGGGCAAUAUUGUUCCAUACUCACAAGCAAACUUCCAAUUUAAAACCUUUGAGUACCCUGAGGCCAUCUGAGCCAAUUCGUUUGCUACGUCAUUAUAUAUCAUAUUAACACAUUGAAGCUCUAUUUGGUCGAAUUCUUCCAACAACUCUUGGGCGAUUUCAUAUUGAUUUAUAAUGGAAUCACUUUGGCAUUUAAAAUCACCAAUCAAUUGGUGAAUUACCAAUUGAAAAUCGCCUUUAACGAUCACAUUCUUUAUCCUCAAAUCUAUCAUUAAUUAUAGGUCCACGAUUAAGGCUUCGUAUUCGGCCUAAUUGUUGGUGCACAUUCUAUCCAAAGUGAAUGCGAACUUGUAACAAAUCCCUAAAGGAUUUAUCAAUGCUACCUCUACUCCUGCACCUUUAGAGGUUUUCGAUCCAUCGAAAUAUAAAACCCAAGGUUUUAAUUCAAAUGAAUUGAUCUCUAACUCAAUUUCUUCAGGCAUAUCAAGGCAUGGAUGAUCGAUCAGAAAAUUAGCCAAAACCUGAUUUUUGACUGACUUUUGGGGAUAUGUAUUGUACUUCGAAUUCUAAUAAGGCUAAUGUCCAAAGGCCUACCAUUUGGUGCAAAAUAGGGCGAGAGAACAUAUACUUAAUCAAAUUUACUUUAGAAACUAAAUAAAUAAGCCCUUAAUUUUGUACAUGUGAAAUACAAUGCAAGACAUAAUUUUUCAAUGGCAGAAUAAUUACAUUCACAUUUUGUUAACCGUCUACUCAAGUAGUAAAUCGCCCUUUCUUCACCAAAUUGGUCUUCCUGCGCGACCAUUCCAGCUAUUGAUUCUUCUUCAGCCGAUACAUACACUUUCAUUGGCCGUCCUUGGAUUGGUGACACCAACAUUGGUGGAUUUGAUAAAUAUGUCUUUAGGCUUUCAAAAUCCUUUUGAUGCUCUUCUUUCCAGACGAAUUCGUCCUGAUUUUUCAAUUUUAAAAGCGGCGAAAAAGCUUUAGUUCGCCUUGCACAGUUAGAAAUAAAGAGUCUUAAAAAGUUUACUUGGCCUAAAAACCUUUGCAAUUCUUUUUUAUUACUAGGAGGUUUGGCCUCUAAAAUGGCCUUCGCUUUAUUUUUAUCAAGUUCAAUCCCCCUCUUGUGUACUAAGAAACCAAAAAAAUUCUCUGCAUUAACACCAAAUGCACAUUUCAAGGGAUUCAACUUUAGUUUAUAUUGCUUCAUUCGCUCAAAUGAACAUCUUAAUUGUUCAAAAUGAUCCUCUUCUUUAACGGAUUUGACCACUAUAUCAUCUACAUAUACCUCAACAAACUUGCUUAUCAUAUCAUGAAAAAUAAAAUUCAUUGCCCUUUGAUAAGUUGCUCCUGCAUUUUUUAGACUGAAAGACAUAACUACCCAUUCAAAAUAUCCUAGAGAUCCAAGACAUCUAAAGGCAGUUUUGUGUAUAUCUUCCUCGGCUAUGUAAAUUUGAUUGUAUCCUGAAUAUCCAUCCAUGAAGGAAUACAUUACAUGUACGGCAGUCGAGUCUACUAAAAAAUCUACCGUGGGCAUUGAAUAUUCAUCUUUAAGUGUGGCUAUGUUUAAAUUCCUAAAGUCUAUGCACACCCUUAGUUUACCAUUCUUUUUUAAUACCGGCACGAUAUUGGACAACCAUUCAACAUAUCUGGCCGUUCUAAUAAAGCCUACUUUUAAUAAUCGCUCUAUCUCUUCCUUAAUUUUAGGGAGUAUAUUAGGAGCGAAACGCCUAGGAGGUUGCCUAUGAGGUUUAAAAUUAGGCUUGGUUGGUAAUCUAUGUUCUACCAAAUCUCUAUCUAAACCAGGCAUAUGUUCAUAUUUCCAAGCAAAACAAUCUUUGUACUCCUUUAAUAAAGCAAUUAAUUUAUCACUAACCUCUUGAUUGAGCACUUGGCUGAUGAACGUUGGGCGAUCUUCUCCUUCGUUGCCAAUAUUUACUUUAAUCAGGGGGUUUUAUGCUUGAGCGUAUCCAGGCUUGGCGAUCCUUAUCACUUCGUCAUCCAGUUCCUUUGUAGGCACUUCUUCUUCUAAACAAUCCACUUUGUUGACUUCUUGGCCAAUACUUUGUUCCAACUCGAACACUGUCAAUUUGUCUCUCAAUGCCUUUAAGGCUGCUGCUUCUUUCGUCUUGUCCUUGCAUUCUUUAUUGAAAGUCAUUAAUUUUGCUUUGAAGGCCUAAAUAUCGGCCAUUUGUCUUCGUUGCUUACAACUCAUUUAAAACUCAUUGAUUAUUCUUUUGCCAAUUACUGGUUCCUCCAGGGCCACUAUGUUUGGCCUCAUCUGACUGAACAUUUCGGUAAAUGCAUCCACCGAAAAUGGCUCUUCAUUCUGCGCAACAAUCUGAGUUUCUUCUCCAUCUUGGACUACUCUGACAGGUUCAUAAUUUUCUUCGUACAUGAACCUUUCUACUGAGUUUGCCUCUGCGACAAAAGGCCUAUGAUCAGCCUGCACCACCUCUACUUCGCCCUUGUCAUUCCAAAAAACUAGGCACCGAUGGAGCGAUGAAGGUAUACAGCGACUUCCGUGUAUCCAAUCUCUUCCUAAUAACACAUUGUAACUAGUGGGACCAUCUAUUACAAAGAAGACUGUGGUCCUAGUAGUUGUUCCUAUAGUUAUGUCCAAUGGCAUAACCCCUUUGGCUAAAGUUGCUCCUCCAUUAAAACUCGUCAGGAUAACUUUCGUUGGGAUCAUAUCUCCUUCUGUCUUUGCGAAUUUCCUCAUCAUCCUAGAUGGAAUGGUGUUUAUAGUUGCUCCAUUAUCGACAAGCACUUUUGCCACAGGUAUGCCGUUAACUAGAGCUUUAACGUACAUGGCCUCAAGUGUUUGGUCAAUUUCAUUGCUGGUCGCUUGAAAAUAACUUUUUCGGCAGCAGCUAUUUCCACUUCCUGCUUGUCCCCUGUCGAGUUACCCUUUUGUGAUAGGUCAACGUGCAGCAUAUCGCACUGAGUCUCUAUCUCCUGAAUUUCCUUUUUACUAUUUUCUAAUGCUUCUUCUUCAGUUACCCAACCUGUGGGAGGAGACAUUAUUCUUGGAGGUAAUCCAUACUUUUCAGAGCGAGGCACUCUCUUAUUCCUUUUGGGCGUUCCGUACAGCACGUAAAAAUCGAAAGAACGCCCAGAUGGUUCUCCAAAUAAGUCUACUUCACGAACUCCCUCUCGAUGUAGUUGCUUCAACAGAGUGUUGUACGAUACUCCCCUUCUUCUUCUUUCUGCCUCUAGAUCGAUUUUUUCUUCGAUGUCUGUCAUACCAUCAUCUUCUUCACCAUUGUAGGCCUCUCUAGAAGUUUGGCCUUCUUCAUAUUCCAGCAUGCAUGCUUCUUCUUUGUUAUCCUCCCUUUCUUCUCCUCCCUUCUCUUUAUUCUUGAACUCAUUGACUAGUAAAUAGUUAUUAGUCAUGACAGGAGGUAACGUACCAAACUGAAUAGUAAGGGGCUGAUCUGGAUCUUCUCCAUCCCUUCUAUCUCGCUCAAACUUCGACCUCCCAGAAGAAGUCUCUGGCAAUUCUUCCAUAGGUUCGCCUGUUUCAGUCUCUUCACUGUCUUUGAGAACAUUUUGAUUGGCUGCCUCGAAUAGUCUAGGUGCCUUUGGACGUAGCAUUCCCUGUUGUUGCCUCAUCAUUCGCCCAUAAUUCCGUUGAAAACGCCUUUGUUGGCUUCUAGUCAUCUCGUUGAAAGGUAUUGCCCUUCCAGCCUUAUACUGGAACGAAUGCCAUAUAUUUGGUAGGCGAGGUUGCGGUCUGAAUGUUCUUCCGUUAUUUACUGGCCUAAACUGCCUCUCAAAAGGUGGUCCCUUAUAGAAUGAUGUACCCUCCUCUACCGGGCUGAGCGUUUGGGAAAAAACUAGGGCGAUGGUGAUGUUGUCAUAUCCCUGGUUUCUCUACAUUUGCACUCACUUCUUUUUUGCACCUUGCACAUAGGACGUCUUCAUCCUUUUUGGGCUCAUUCCCUUUGAUACGUUCAAAGACACUGGGAUGUGGUCCAGCUUCUUCUUCUCCAUCAUUUAUAACCAACUUGAAUUUUGGCAACUUGUUUCUGAAACCAGACGUUACCAUGUUCACUCCAAGUGGCUGUGGAAAAGAAUUUUCAUCCACUGCCAUCUUCCUCUUAUCUUCGAACGUAAUUCGUCAUUUUUCAAUGGCAUCUUGUAACACAUGACGAAAAACUAAACAAUUGUUAGUCAAAUGUGACCAUACAUUAUGCCACUUACAAUAUUUUUUACCCUUAAUUUGUUCAGGGCUUGGCAACUUAUACUUAUCGCUCAACUUUAUCUGCUUAUCCUUAUAUAAUUUAUCAAAUAUAAGGUCAGCUUUGGUUAUAUCGAACAAGAACGUUCUAGCCUUUAUGUUUUCAUCUUUUAUAGGCUCAUCUUCGCCUGACGGUUUAGGCUUAGCCAUUAUAGGACAAGUAUAUGUGUCUCCUUUAACUAAUUCGACCAAACACAUUUCGAUUUGAUCGUAAUACUCGUCGUUAAUGGUAUGAACAUCAAAAUUUGGGUCUCUAUAAUAAGUCCCUUUGUUGGAAUUUUUCAUUUGUUCUUCCUCUCUUAUUAAUCGUUCAUACCUAAUCACAUUCGCGCUCAAUUGGAAAAGAUCAGGAAAUUCCUUGUCUUGGAACUUCUUCUUCAAAUCAAAGUUUAGACAACCUUGAGCGAUUUUGACAAACUCCUUUUCGGGCAAAGGUACAAAACAUUUACUUCUUGCUGUUUUGAACCUUUGAAGGAAACCUUCUGCCCAUUCGUCUGGCAUUUGACGUAGAUUCGCCAAAUCGGCCAAAGUAACUUCAAACUCAGUCUUCUAAAACUGAGCGUGGAACAAUUGCUCCAAUUGUUGCCAUGUUUGAACAUAGUUUGUUGGCAAAUUGAUGAACCAGGAGAAGACUACUCCCGUUAAUGAACUAGGGAAUAACCUCAUUUUAUGGUAAUCAGUUACGUCACCACUUUGCAGUGUGAAUCGCCCUAUGUGUUUUAGAGUAGACACCUCUCCUAAAUCGGUAAACAGUGAGAAUUCUGGCACUUUAUACCCUCUAGGCCAUGGAUAUGCUUGGUCUACCCAAUCAAGAUAUGGCUUUGUGUAAGUCGACCUAAUGACAGGACGUACUCCAAAAGCCAUCUGGUCCUGUACGAUUUCCAUAAUCUGAUUCCUCAACAUGACGUUGGGGUCAUAUGAAAUUCCUAUAGGUUGGUUGACCGGUUGAUUUGCUUGAGGCCUAAUGUUUGGUCCUUGAUUGGCAACAAAGUUACCAUAAUUUGGGUCAUUGUUACCAUAAGCCUGAGCAUUUAUUCAAUCAUUAACACGUGGGGUAUUCUGCCCAUUAUUUAGGACAUUAUCUCUUACAUUUGGAUUACCCCCCAAGUUAGACGUACCAAUGCCACUAUUCUAAUUUGGUAUUGCAACACCCCCUUGGUUUGAAGUAGAGAGAUCAAAAGGUGGUUCUACCCCUUGAUUUAAACUUAGGAUUGGGAUAUUAUGUCCCACAAUUGUCCUAGUUUGAAAGUAGUUUGUAAGAGGCACAACUGGCUAACAAAUUUGGCCUACCAACUUAUUCAUUAUUUCGUUCAAAAUAUUCAGUUGUUUGGCCAUGUUGUCAUAAUGUGCAUUCUCAUUCUGGGUAAAUCUUUCCAUAUUAUGAAUACUUCGUAGAUUUACCUGUUCAACGACAUCUUGUGUGAGUUCUCCGAGUAAUGCACGCAUGGUUCGAGGACUUAACUUUGUCAUUGGUUCGUAGCGACUGUGAUUGCUAUGAUCCUGUCCAUUUGUUCGUGGAGAGCUAUGCUGCUCCUCAUAUCGCUCGAUCACAGACUCCUCCCUGGCUUGCUGUUUCCUUAUCAGAUUUUAGAGACAUAUUGUUUCACCUUUUGUAUCUUCAACACAAAACAAUAAUGUUCCACCGGGCGUGUCAAAUUGUGUCGCGCGAGUAGUCGCUAACAAUUAAAAAGGGAUCAGACGAUUGUGUAAGGGACAAACCUCUUGAGACAAAGUCUCAAAAAGGGAUGUUUUAUUGGCAAUGACUUUACAAUUCGAAUUUAAACAGAAAUGCCUCCAAGGAGCACAAGCACACGAGUACUGAAAAGAAAUGUUUUAAGUCUAAACUAAGAAAUUGAAAUUACAUAUUCUCUGUUUGAGAGUGUUUGAUUCGGGGUCUUUUGCUCUAUAUCUUUUCUUCCUUUUAUAUUCCUUUGAUGCUCUCUUUGUGAUCAACCGCUUAGAAAUCGCUUAAUUACUUUAUAACUGCCCACUUUCUUCAUGGUGGCCAACUUAUCGUAGAACUGCCGUCUCUAACUGCUGUCAUUACUCUUUGUCGUUCAACCGUCCUCAACUGAACAUUCUUGAAUCGUGGAACAUGAUAAAAUUACCCAAUAACUAUUUUGAUAAUUGCAUUUUUGGAUAACCAUAACAUCUCAUGUUUGCUAAGAUCUUGGGCUAUUCGAAAGUUUGGGCGAGAACAGGGUCAUAACUCUGGGCGACUGCAAGGCACUUCAUUCGCUCAAAUCCUGAGCGUCUUGUAAGUUUAGGCGAUGGUGUUACCGUAUUCGUGGGCUUCCACUGCAUUCAUUAAUAACCUUAUUUGAGCCUUUAUCCUGAAUUGCCCAGUUGGGCUUCAUUCUUUGGACUAUUUGAAUUGGGCUACACUUUUUACAUGUCAACAACUCUAUUAUAAUAUUGUGAUUAAAUAUUAUAUUAUUAUAUACUGUGAACCUGUCCAAUCGUCGGUAGAAUAAAUAAUGUAACUUUUAAUCUUUCGCGGAUAAAUAUAAUUGAAUAUUAAAUUAUAACAACAUAUUGUAUUUUUGAAAUUAAAAUAAUAUGAUAAAAAUUAUAACUGUUGUAAUGAACAGAAACAGUGAUUAAAACAACAGAUCAAUAGAUUGAGAAAUGAAAAUUGCAAAAUAGAAUAUAGGAACCUUUUCAAUCGAAGCCCCAAAAGUUAGAUGACAAUUUCUAACACCUAAUCCAUUGUUGAACGAUUGUAGCACAAAAAGCACGCCAAAAUGGCAAUUAAGGUACAAUAACGUUCCAUAUUAUUUAACAUGAUUAGCAUAAAGACUAUCAUUUAUGAUGCAGUAAUCCGAAAUAAUACCAGCUCUUAAUACACAAAGAUUUGACAUGAAGAAAGGCGUUUUCAAAGUGAAACUUUGAGCUCAACUUACAACACGGAAGGACUUUGAACUACACAAUGUUACAAAUGAUAAUAUAAAUUUCCUAUUAUACAAGGUACGAAAUAUGACUAGUACUGCAAGACUUGAUAUUGUAUCUACCAAGAAAGCAUUGGAAUGGGAAAUUAAGUACGAUAAUUUUCUGAUAAUCGAUCCAAACACAGUCGAGCUGAUAGAAUGACCAACUGAUGAUAAGAUAUUUUAUUCCUUACUUGGAGUUGAUGCGCUUGUCUUGUUUAGUUGCUGAGAUUUAUUCACCAUAUUGGCCAUAUUAGGAGUUGUGUAGGCACCAAAGCUAAUUUUAGCUGCAGCUGGUGCAGAGAAAGGAGUAGUGGAGGCUUGUCCAAAGCUCAAAGUUUGUGCUUCUGCUCCCGGCACUGCAUUGCCUCUAGUUGUGGCCCUUUGAUAAGCGUGUGAGUUCAUUCCAGAGAGUGCAAAAGCUCGACCUGAUUGUUGAUACACCUGUCGACUUCCCAUUCUUUGUUCAGUUUCUUUCAGCUCAGAUUCAAGCCACGUACAUAGACCAUCACCUGCUUGGGCAGAUGCUGAAGAAAGAAGUUUCGAUCUCCUGUUCGAGAGCACAGCCUGUGCACCAGUAAAAUUUCCUCUUUCUGCCAACCUUUGUGCCUCUGCAAUGCCUUCUGCUGCCCAUAGCCUAUUUCUCUGUCGAUCAACCUCCAGGUGAACUACCUUAUCUUGGGGAGAGACAACUUUUGGUCGACGUAUUUCAACUAGGUCAACUUCUACUCGGACAAUCUCUUUUGAUACAAUAUCUCUAUAAGAACACACUAUAUCCAAAAGUGAUGUCUUUCCCUGACCUUCUUCAUCUUCAGCACCUCGAAGUACAGGGACCGACAAGUUGAUCAGAAAUUCUUUUUCCUCAUCCGCGUAGAGAUCCCCAACAUUAAUUAUGCCUCGACAACCUUGAUCGGAGAUUUCACUUGCGUAUCUUCCAGAAGAAAUUGAUUUGAUUUCUACACCAUUUGACGCCGAUCUCACAAUUAUUUGAAGCCUCUGGUUCACCACGCUUAGUAGACCACCAAUACAGCUUGCAAAAGCAUCUUGUAUCAUUUCAUAGGACUCAAUGAAGGAAAAGGUGCCGCCCGAUUCAUCAGAAAUGGCAUGCAUUGCGACAGGGUCGUGGUCUGAACCGAAACCGAAUGCAUGGACAGGAAAUGUUUGCUGCUGGACUUGAUCUUGGGUUCCUCUGUUUCUGGGACAGAUGGAACCAGGCAAAAGAUGUAGAUAUUGUGGAGGCUGUGAGGAAGUUUGAAAAAAUAAGCCACUGGAGCAAGUGUCCUGUCCAUCAGAUAAGAAUAUGAUGCUUGCAACUGGAUUUUGUUGACGCCUUUCUUCAAGAACACGGACCCCCUUCUUUAGUCCUUCGACAAUAUUAGUCGAACCAUUUGCUACAACUGAAUCAACGGCCCUUUUCGCAUCUUCUCGGCCGUUGUCAGUCAUUCUGCGCAAGGGAAAUAUUCUACGAGCAUCAGAUGAGAAACAAACUAUAGAAAGCCUGUCAGAAGGGCCCAAGUUAUCUGCGACAAAAUGAACAGCACGCUUCACCAAAUUUAACUUUGAGCCAUUCAUGCUGCCACUAAUGUCUAGUACAGCAACAAGGUCAAUAGGUGCACGAUCAAAGAGACAUGCAUUAUCUGAUAGAGGUGGUGCGCGUACUCCUACAAGAACUGCAAACUGAGAGAGGGAUUCUGAAGCGGCAAUGGCAGGACGCUCAGGAAUGGACUUGAUUUUUACACCUUGUAGCCCAUCACGUGAAUCCGAAGAAUUAGAAUUAGCAGUGAUUGUG
rnacentral:lncRNA from 1 species